GCUACAGGCGGAGUCUCGCGCUUUAGCUAGUUUUGGAGGAAAAAAAAAAAAAAGCCCCAAACCUUGCGCCCGCCGCGUUUUUACGAAUCCCCUGCGGUACCAGCCCCCGCGCCCGCCCCGCCCGCCGCGCACUUCCUCCGCCCACCUCCCGCUUCUUCCCCAUUGGCUUGCGCGAGCAGUUUGAAUUUUUUUCUUUUUUGGAUGCUUGUUUUCUUGUAAAAAAUACAGUACCCCCGAUCGUGUGGCCAAACCUACUUCGGUGGCCGGUGGUGGGGUGAUUUAGCUGGUUUUGUAGAGGCGGGAGGGAGGUGGGUGGGCGGGGCUUCUGUUCCAAAAUUUUCCCCUUAAGUGCCUUUGACAGUGUGCAGGCGGGUGGGGGAGCGUGGGGCCGCGGUAAACAAACAGGAGAAGCUUCGGCGGGGGCCGAGAUGUAGUAUAAACGUUAAUGGAUGUCCAGGGCGCGCCGAUGCACCGGCGGCUGGCCAGAGGUACUAGGGAGGCGCUGGCAGGAGCCCUGGCGAAGAUGCACCUUCCCCAGCCUGGAAAGAUCAACACCUGUGGUCACUGGAAGCCCACCUUUGAGAGUGGUGACUAAUAAUACUGGGGAGUGAGUGGUAACUUCCAGCUGCCAUCCAAAUUUCCCAACUUAAAUCCAGGCCCAAACUCAGCCUCUGGGACCUUUGAAAAGAAUGCUGCCAACACCUAACACCUACCGUUUAAUCUUUAACACUUAGUGUUAAGUUUGAACCCAGGUUACGGAAAUAUGUUUUUAUUUAUAAAGACAAUUAAUACAUUGCAAAAAAUGACUGGUAAAUUUGAUUGUAUAUUUUACAUUUUUUAAAAAAAUCUUUAAAAAUAAGGCAUUUGUUGAAUUUAGGGCCAUCUCUAAUUAUUUCAGAAAGGACAUGGUAUCAGUUGUUUGUGGUACUAAAUCAAUAACACGCACCCCCACAUGUAAGCAAUGGCAAAUUAGGAAAAAUGUUUAUAACCCAUAAACGGAAGGGCUAAUUUCCCUAAUAAAUAAAGAAUUUCCACAAAUCA
rnacentral:lncRNA from 1 species